UACGGGGGGGGGCAAGCGUUGUUCGGAAUCACUGGGCGUAAAGCGCACGUAGGCGGAUGUGUCAGUCAGGGGUGAAAUCCCGGAGCUCAACUUCGGAACUGCCUUUGAUACAGCACGUCUUGAGUCCGAUAGAGGUGGGUGGAAUUCCGAGUGUAGAGGUGAAAUUCGUAGAUAUCGGGAGGAACACCAGUGGCGAAGGCGGCUUCCUGGACCAGUACUGACGCUGAGGCGCGAAAGCUAGGGGAGCAAACAGG
rnacentral:rRNA from 1 species